AUUUUCUCUGUUCUACAUAUAGGGCCAUGCUGAAUUUUAAGAGAUCUGAAUUUGGCUGAGGAUGAGCAAGCAGCUGUUACCUUCAAACAUUCUUCUUGAGAAUUCUACAGGAGGUCUGAGCAAAAGAGAAUAUCUGAUUAAUCACCUUGUCCCAAAUCAGCCACAGGAAAUCAUUGCUUCUGAAAUACCGAUGUUCAAGGUAGCCAGCAUUGAAGUGGUCGCUCUUGUUUUGAGAAUCCUUUGGACUGACCCUCUUGUCAACUGCGCUGGUACAUACAGAAAUUGUUGCCCAAGAUUUGGCACGGUUCUCUCCUGACAAAUUCAGCAUUUCAUUGGGAAGAACAAGAAUUCAAAUCCUGAUAUAAUCAGGCUGUUCAGACGUUUUAGUUAGUAGAACACAAUGCCACAUGAAGUGGAACCUUCUGAAAUGCAGUACAAUGAAUGCAGACAAAUAUAAGGAUCCAAUGGCCCAGAAGCACCUGAAGACAAAGUGCUUUAAUGGAUAUAUAUCAGGUUAAAAAGAUAUAUCCUAGGGAGAAUAUUUCUCCGUUAAACAGUGAUGGAGUAAGUGUUCUGGGAUAUAA